AUUUGCUACCACAUCUUAGAUUUUAGGUUUACAGAAAGAAAAGACACAGCCCUGGCCCUCAAGAAGCUCUUAGGUUUCCGUGAAAAACAAUAACAUAAUUAUAAUAUACUGUGCUAAAUGCUGUGAGAGAAGCAAUGAUUUAUGGGACUAGUAAAUAAAGUGAGUUUUGGAGAUGACAAAAGUUAAUGCAGGGAGGCAGAAAUAGGUGUUUGCAAAGCAGUGUGUGGAAAAGGACAGAGGAGGUAGAAUGAAGGGACUGCUUUCUUUAUUUUGUGUUUAAGUUCAUAGCAUCUUAUAGAAGAUUUUUAUUUCAGUUGAAAAAUAUGUAAUUUUGUGAAUUAUAAAUUGCUUUCUUACAGGAGGGAAACAUGAUUGUUUUACUUGCUAUAAUUUGCAAGAGGCAACAAAUGGUGACAUUUUUAGUGAAGAACCAGCCAAAUGUACAUGCUGUUGACAAUUUCGAGAAGAACAGCCCACAUGCUUGCCACACAUCAUAACUUGCCAAGUAUAGUCAGCCUUCUCCUUGAAGAAAAUAUUAGAGUCUUUUCUCAGGAUAUGUUUGGACAAACAGCAGACGAUUAUGCUGUUUGUUGUGAUUUGAUAAGGGACAUGGAUGAAUCUGGAGAACAUCAUCCUCAGCAAACUGACACAAGAACAGAAAAUGAAACACCAUAUAUUCUCACUCAUAGGUGGGUGAUGAAAAAUGAGAACACAUGGACACAGAAAGGGGAGUACUGAAACACUGGGGUCUAUUGGGGGGAAAAGGGGAGGGCCAGUGGGAGGGGGAGGUGGGGAGGGAUAGCCUGGGGAGAAAUGCAAAAUGUGGGUGAAGGGGAGAAGAAAAGCAAAGCACACUGCCAUGUGUGUACCUACGCAACUGUCUUGCAUGCUCUGCUCAUGUACCCCAAAACCUAAAAUCCAAUAAAAAAUUUUAAAGAAAAAGAGUAA
rnacentral:lncRNA from 1 species